rnacentral:lncRNA from 1 species
AUUGCUUGAACCCAGGAGGCAGAGGUUGCAGUGAGCCCAGAUGACGCCACUGCACUCCAGCCUGGGUGACAGAGUAUGAAUCCGUCUAAAAAAAAAAAGUGAAUUUUAUAACUUAAUAUGCCUUCGCUUUUUGCUUUGGCUCCCAGGAAGCUCAGAGCUAGUCUGCAGGCCAAAUUUAUAACUACGUAGAACGAGAUUUGCAGAUCUGAAUUAUUCUCUCCCCUUAGAGGUAUCAUGCUUAUUCUGUUGUUCACAUCCCCUAACUGGAUCUUUGUUGUUAAAUAUCUGCCUGUGGUGUUCCGUUGUUUUCCUUUGGCAGGCUGCUUGAGAUGUUUGGUGAAAUGAGGCAACGUGCCUGUGAUUUUGUUUUCAGCCCCAUCGCCAAGGCACCCUCUGAGGCUUGCAGUCUCCAUGGGCACAGCCAGGCUGGAGUACAACGGCGUGAUCUCGGCUUUCCACAACCUCCACCUCCCGGGAUCAAGUGAUUCCCCUGCCUCAGCCUCCUAAGUAGUAGGAAUUACAGGUGUGCACCACCACACCCGGCUAACUUUUGUAUUUUUAGUAGAGACACGGUUUUGUCAUGUUGGCCAGGCUGGUCUCAAUCUCCUGACCUCAAGUGAUCCACCCGCCUGGGUCUCCCCAAAAUGCUAGAAAUACAGGUAUGAGCCACUGUGCCUGGCCCAAGAUCUUUGUGUUAGACUCAUGCUGAGUGUCCCACAUUGUAGGAAGCUCCUAAAAUGACCCCCAGUGAAAGCCCCUCUCCUGGCUUUCACCCUCUUGAUAUCUCUCCCUUGAGUGUGGGCUGGACUUAACAGCUCACUUCUAAUGAAUAGGAUAUGAUGGGGGUGAUGAAUGUCACUUCUGAGAUGAAGUUCUAAAAAGACUAUGGAGUCUGUCUUGGGCUCUCUCCCUCCGCUCACUCUAGGGGAAGCCAGCUGUCAUGUCAGGAGGUACCCGGAGCCUCUGUAUGGCUGGGAGCUAGAAGCAGCCUCAACCCAGAGUCAGUAGGAGUCGGAGGGCCUCAUUCCACCAGCUCACAGGGAACUGAAGCCCACCCACAAUUACGUAAGUGAGCUUGCACCGCAGUCAGGCUGGGGAUUCCCUCUCGGCCAAGUGUUCAGAUGAAACUGCAGCCCCAGCCACAGCUUGACUGCGUGUUGUUGGCGACCUGGGGGCAGAGGCACCAGCUCAGCUAUACCUGGAUUCCUGACUCAGAGACCAUCUGAUAAUAAAUGUUUACUAGUUUUCAACUGCUAAACGUGAGGGCAAUUUGUUAUACCGUAAUAAAUAAUACAUGUGAAGUGGAACCGUAUAAAAUUGUUAUUUAUUACGUUUUUAAAAGUUAAAUGUCAGCAAUUUCUUAUGAGUCAAACCAACUGCUCUACCCUAUGCUUAUUAUAGAACAUCCUGCAAGCUCCUUGUUCUUUAAUCUCGCUCCAAAAAUGUGGAAAUAGGCU